CUCUAACAGCCAUCUGAGGAGUGGCCAGUGAAGUUAUCACUAGGCUGUAAUGUAAACACUGCAUUUUCUCUGAAAAGACAGUGUUUACAUCAAAAAUCCUGAAGGUAAUGAUUCUACGCACCAGAACAAAUUCAAUAAGCUGUAGUUGUUCUGGUGACUAUAGUGUCCCUUUAACACUCUCCACCAGCACUCAGCAGAUACGUUGCAGCAACAGAGCAGGC